AGCACUGACACCCGCUCCAUGCAGUCCCGGGAUGGCCACCAAGUGAGGGAGCAGCAAAAAAGAGAAGACGCAGGGAAGGAAUUACCUAGAGAUCCCCAGGACUGCCACGCUGGGCCAGACUCACAGGACACUACUUCCCUGAAUUAUUCGCUUCUAGAACUAUGGAUGAUGGGUUCAUCUAACCCUUCCUUGAUUUGUUUGUUUUCACUAUGUUAUUUAUAAAGAUAAUGGGUUGUAUGAUAAAUACUUCUUUUUUCUUUUUUUCUCUCUCUCUCUUUUUUUUUUUUUUUUUUUUUUUGAGAUGGAAUCUCGCUCUGUCGCCCAGGCUGGAGUGCAGUGACGUGAUCUCAGCUCACCGCAACCUCUGCCUCCCGGAUUCAAACAAUUCUCCUGCCUCAGCUUCCCACGUAGCUUGGAUUACAGGUACCUGCCACCACGCCUGGCUAAUUUUUGUAGUUUUAAUAGAGAUGGGGUUUCACCGUGUUGGCCAGGCUGGUCUCGAACUCCUGACCUCUGGUGAUCCACUCGCCUUGGCCUCCCAAAGUGCUGGGAUUACAGGUGUGAGCCCCCGCGCCCGACCUUCUUUCUGUCUUUAAAUUAUUUCUUAAAAUUGAUUCUCUCCUUUGGAUGUUCAUCCCACAAGUUGAUUAUGGAAUUGGUUCAUUUAUUCAUUCAACACACAUCUAACAGCACUUUGGGCCAGGGGUUGGGGUUGCAGAGCCAAGCAGGACCUCAUGCUAGCUCUUUUAGCUUAGUGAGGACAGACAUGUGGAGAACUUCAAAGGUGAGAAAGUGCUAAGGAGGGGCCACACGGCAUGUGUGGCACAUUAGUGAGGACGGCUCUGCAGAGGGGUGGGUGUGCUGGGGAGGGAGUGACGGAGGAAAUGGCAUGGCGGAGCUGAAAUUUGGGCCGAGUCUGAUGGGGCACCCACCAGUCCCCCUAGUGAGAACUCCUCUAGUUUUCUAUCUUUUACCACAGACAGGAGUUUCUGCCCUUAGCAAAAGCUGCAAGUGCAGGAGGACCUGACCUCCCCAGUCUUCCUUUCGAUCUCAGGUUUUCUUCCUGCACUGUCUGAGCUGACUGUUCCCAAAGGACACUUGGCUGGGUACAUUGGUGUUCAUAAGUGCCUCCUAUAAAGAAGCCUGGAGCCUCACUCAACCAAUCAUUUUGCAGAAAAGUAAACUCAGACCCAGGCUUACCAAAAGAUGCAUGGCUAGAAAAGAAUGGAGUCGGAACGAGGGCCCCAUUCUUGAGAUUCCCAGGGGAGGCCUUUGCUGUCUCAUUCGGCUUCCUUGGGAAAGAGAAGGUCAGAUCAACCUUGAGCAGGGAGUGGCUGGCAGCAGCCUCAGCCUCAGGCAGGUGCCAGUCUAUCCCCACAAAACAGAGGGAUGUCUCCAAGAAGGAGUCCGCACUGAUGACCAGCCUGAGGGCAUCAGAUGUAGGCUGCCUUCCACCUGGCAUGGAACUGCUGCUGGCUCUUCUGCCUCCCAAGGCCUGAGACACGAUUGCCUGGAUUACUCCAUGGAGCCGGGGCCUGUGCAGACCCUCAAGAGAGGUCUUUUGCAGCCAACCUGUUGGGCAGCUGCCCUGGUGCCCUCAAGGUGCCCCCCUUUCUGUGCCCACCUCAUCUUUGGGGCCUCACAGUGAGGAUGUGGCCAGUGACAGGGGCUGGGGAAGAUACACCAGGGUAGAGAGGUGGACACUCCGGGCUUCUGGUUAUGAUGAUGAUGAUAGCCAGACUGGUGAUUCCCAAACUGGAGGGUCCUUGGGAUCUUCUGGCAAGGCAAAAAGUCCAGCAUGCCAUAUCCACCGACUCCUGAGUCAGAUACCCGGAAAGAACCUGAGGUUAUCUAUGUCAGGCUCUCUGAUGACGAUUUUGUGUUGAAUAAAGUUUAAAGCACAGAUCCA